UUCUCUUUGAAAAAUGGAGAAAGGACGCUCUCUCCAUCUCCAAAAAGAAAUCGAAUGCCCCAUUCUUCAGAAAAAAAAAAACCCAACAGCAUCCUUAUUUUCUGGUCUUCUUCAGCAGAGAAGAACGUUUGGACAGAAAAGAUUGAAAACAUAGGUUUGGAGGUUCUCGAUUUUGUUCCAACAUUAUUCUUCUGAUUUUCGGUUCCAGUUCCUUCACAUAUAGAUAUUAACAAAAACAUUCAGUUUCUUGGAGUUUUAGUUUUGUCUUAAAAUUUCGAAAAAUAUAUAAAAAAGAAUUUUGUUUCUUCUCGGAUUGUUGACUUUAAUGGUCUUUGUUCUUAAUCUGGGGGUUAUUGAGAUCUGAAGUUCCUUGAGGGAUUUGAAGUUGUGUUGAAGUGCCUUGGGUGUUCCCAUUCGUGGACUUUGAAUCAUUCCGCUGUUGUUUCGAAAUUGGCCAAGCUUUGUCCGUUAAUUUUUUGCCUUCAUUGGGCCUCUCAAUUAUUGCUUUCCUAAGAUAAAGGUAAACAACAUGAACUUUUGUAUAUUUCUGCUUUUCAAUGAUAAUAAGCUUUGAUUCCUAUUAGAAACUUGACUUCGAUGUGUCGAUUCCAUGUUUUCUGCAUUUUAAUAUUUAAAUAGUUCUCUUGGACCAUAGCUUGAACUAAUUUAAUUAUUCUUUAAUAUACUUUCUAUAAGUUAUGCAUGUUUAGUAUUUUAGUUUUUUUUAGAAGAAGUCUUGAUUUUUUCUUCCUGGUUAGAAUUUUGCUAGAGUAAUGGUUCUUAUGCUUUUGAUUCAGCACCGCCUUUUGCUAGGUCUUUUUGUUUUUCUUCAACGACAUUGGUAUGAAGGAUUCUUGCAGCUAUUUUUAU
rnacentral:lncRNA from 1 species